rnacentral:rRNA from 1 species
UACGUAGGGUGCGAGCGUUGUCCGGAAUUAUUGGGCGUAAAGAGCUCGUAGGCGGCCUGUCGCGUCGGUUGUGAAAGCCCGGGGCUUAACCCCGGGUCUGCGAGUCGAUACGGGCAGGCUAGAGGUUCGGUAGGGGCGUGCGGAACUUCCGGUGGAGCGGUGAAAUGCGUAGAUAUCGGAAGGAACACCGGUGGCGAAAGCGGCGCGCUGGACCUCUUCGUGACGCUGAGCGCGAAAGCCAGGGAGCAACGGG